CAGUCGAGCGGGGGAGGUAGCUUGCUACCGGACCUAGCGGCGGACGGGUGAGUAAUGCUUAGGAAUCUGCCUAUUAGUGGGGGACAACAUCUCGAAAGGGAUGCUAAUACCGCAUACGUCCUACGGGAGAAAGCAGGGGAUCUUCGGACCUUGCGCUAAUAGAUGAGCCUAAGUCGGAUUAGCUAGUUGGUGGGGUAAAGGCCUACCAAGGCGACGAUCUGUAGCGGGUCUGAGAGGAUGAUCCGCCACACUGGGACUGAGACACGGCCCAGACUCCUACGGGAGGCAGCAGUGGGGAAUAUUGGACAAUGGGGGGAACCCUGAUCCAGCCAUGCCGCGUGUGUGAAGAAGGCCUUAUGGUUGUAAAGCACUUUAAGCGAGGAGGAGGCUACUUUAGUUAAUACCUAGAGAUAGUGGACGUUACUCGCAGAAUAAGCACCGGCUAACUCUGUGCCAGCAGCCGCGGUAAUACAGAGGGUGCGAGCGUUAAUCGGAUUUACUGGGCGUAAAGCGUGCGUAGGCGGCUUAUUAAGUCGGAUGUGAAAUCCCCGAGCUUAACUUGGGAAUUGCAUUCGAUACUGGUGAGCUAGAGUAUGGGAGAGGAUGGUAGAAUUCCAGGUGUAGCGGUGAAAUGCGUAGAGAUCUGGAGGAAUACCGAUGGCGAAGGCAGCCAUCUGGCCUAAUACUGACGCUGAGGUACGAAAGCAUGGGGAGCAAACAGGAUUAGAUACCCUGGUAGUCCAUGCCGUAAACGAUGUCUACUAGCCGUUGGGGCCUUUGAGGCUUUAGUGGCGCAGCUAACGCGAUAAGUAGACCGCCUGGGGAGUACGGUCGCAAGACUAAAACUCAAAUGAAUUGACGGGGGCCCGCACAAGCGGUGGAGCAUGUGAUUUAAUUUCGAUGCAACGCGAAGAACCCUUACCUGGUCUUGACAUACUAGAAACUUUCCA
rnacentral:rRNA from 1 species